rnacentral:lncRNA from 10 species
CCUAAACUGACUCUGGGGACUAAAGAAAAAAAGUAUAACUUAUCAUGGAAGUUGCUUAAGUGCAAAAUUAAUCAGGUCAGGGGAGGAUUGGAUAUGGAGAUUAAACUGUCAUGCUUGGAUCUGGAAGAAGAAAAAGAGAGGACUGUGUUGUUAGGUGGAGGAUGGCUUGCAUUCCUGCCUUGUUCCAACGCUUACUAGCAAGCUGACUUCGGGAAGAUUAGGUAACUCAUCUCAGUUUCCUCAUCUGUAAUGCAAAGACACAGCAUCAUCUCUACCCAUAAAAGAUGGCAUUCUGCAAGACUGAGAAGAUGCCCACCUCCAUUCCCAGAGUCCAGGCCUUCAUUAACUCACACGAGAACUACAGAAGCAUCACCCCUAGUUCUCCUAUUAGUCACUCCUCCUCAACUGCCUCUAAUCCAUCCAUCCAUCUAUCCGGCAUGGGUCAUGUAAAGUUACAGCUGAGAAGGGCUGGAUACAGUGAACUGGAGGAAUAGCGGGGAGAAUUGCCAAUACUCAGGAGUCAGGCUUCACAUUGAUCAUGCAGCUAAUAAGAAAGAAGGCAAAGGUACCAAGCCCCUUGCCAUAUGAGAGCUUCCAGCAACUUUGGCAGAAGAUAGAAAGGAAAAUACUACUACUAUUUAGAAACUGCACUGAUAUUUCUUGACUUCUCCUGAAUCGAC